rnacentral:lncRNA from 1 species
GGAAAACUGGACAUUCCUGGACAUUGCUGGGAGCCAGACACUGAGUUGAUCAUAGUGUGCUGUCAACAGUGAAAGAAAAUCUGAGGGAUCCUCACAGAAACGGGGCGCACUUUGGAAUGAAGGAGCACUUUUGGUGAGUCGAAAACUAUUAGCUGACUGCAGUCAAGAUGAAAUCCACUUUGGAAAUGUUUGGGUGUUUUUUUAAGUUUGGCUCAAUCACUUGUUUUUCACUGUUCCUUAUGUAAUCUUGUGGGAUGUGGCGUCAGAAAGUCAUAAAUCAUUCAUGGUGCUUUGGGGAAAAAAAAAACAACACUGUGCAAAGCAGAUGCAACUUAAAAUGAAAUGAGAGAAGUUUUUGGGUGAAACCGAAAAGAAAAGCGUAACUCGCAUGGUUUGUAGCCAACGCUGAUCACUAAUUCUCGCAAUCUCUAUAUGGCUUGGUCAUUUGUUUCCAGUUUCUUGUGCUUCACUGUAAAUGGAGAGUGAGUGAAAGAUAUAGCCUAUCACAACUGCAUUGCAUUUUUCCAACAGUCUUAGAAAAGAUGCUGUAGUAGCGGCAUUUUUGGAAAUGAUUCAAACUGGCAGAUUUUUAUUUCCUGCUUGAAGAAAUCCAGAAAGCCCCAUUUUGUUCAAAAAAUCCCUUUUACGACAUGCUUGUCACUGCUGUUCAUAAUACCUAUGGAUCAAUUAAACUCUCUUUGUAAAAUAUAUGCUUCCUCAAAACCUACAUACAAAAACACAAGUAGCCCCUGGCAGACGUAACCCAUAAAGCUAACUCUAAAACAUCAACACCUUAAUAAAAGUGGUUUAGCUGAAUUAUUUCUGAUGUGGCAAAAAAAA